rnacentral:rRNA from 1 species
AUUGAACGCUGGCGGCAGGCCUAACACAUGCAAGUCGGACGGUAGCACAGAGAGCUUGCUCUCGGGUGACGAGUGGCGGACAGGUGAGUAAUGUCUGGGGAUCUGCCCGAUAGAGGGGGAUAACCACUGGAAACGGUGGCUAAUACCGCAUAACGUCGCAAGACCAAAGAGGGGGACCUUCGGGCCUCUCACUAUCGGAUGAACCCAGAUGGGAUUAGCUAGUAGGCGGGGUAACGGCCCACCUAGGCGACGAUCCCUAGCUGGUCUGAGAGGAUGACCAGCCACACUGGAACUGAGACACGGUCCAGACUCCUACGGGAGGCAGCAGUGGGGAAUAUUGCACAAUGGGCGCAAGCCUGAUGCAGCCAUGCCGCGUGUAUGAAGAAGGCCCUCGGGUUGUAAAGUACUUUCAGCGGGGAGGAAGGCGAUGUGGUUAAUAACCGCAUUGAUUGACGUUACCCGCAGAAGAAGCACCGGCUAACUCCGUGCCAGCCGCCGCCGUAA